rnacentral:rRNA from 1 species
GAUGAACGCUGGCGGCGUGCCUAAUACAUGCAAGUCGAGCGAACAGACGAGGAGCUUGCUCCUCUGACGUUAGCGGCGGACGGGUGAGUAACACGUGGAUAACCUACCUAUAAGACUGGGAUAACUUCGGGAAACCGGAGCUAAUACCGGAUAAUAUAUUGAACCGCAUGGUUCAAUAGUGAAAGACGGUUUUGCUGUCACUUAUAGAUGGAUCCGCGCCGCAUUAGCUAGUUGGUAAGGUAACGGCUUACCAAGGCAACGAUGCGUAGCCGACCUGAGAGGGUGAGGCCCCACCGGAGAAGGGACACGGGCCCGAGCCCCCUGGGGGGGGCAGGGGGGGGAACUUUCCCAAAGGGGGCAAGAUUGAGGGGGCAAAGCGCCGUGAGAGAGAAAGGGUUUUUGGUCUUAAAACCCUCUUUUUUGGGGAAAAAAAAAAUGUGAAAAAACCUACGCGCCUGUAGGGGGCCCAUAAAGAAAACCCCGCGUAAAUCUGU